ACAAUACAACGACAAUACAACGACAAUACAACGACAAUACAAUGACAAUACAACGACAAUACAACAACAAUACAAUGACAAUACAAUACAAUACAACGACAAUACAACGACAAUACAAUACAACGACAAUACAACGACAAUACAACGACAAUACAACGACAAUACAACGACAAUACAACGACAAUACAACGACAAUACAACAACAAUACAACGACAAUACAAC
rnacentral:lncRNA from 1 species